rnacentral:rRNA from 1 species
GACGAACGCUGGCGGCGUGCUUAACACAUGCAAGUCGAACGGAAAGGCCCUGCUUUUGUGGGGUGCUCGAGUGGCGAACGGGUGAGUAACACGUGAGUAACCUGCCCUUGACUUUGGGAUAACUUCAGGAAACUGGGUCUAAUACCGGAUAGGAGCUCCUGCUGCAUGGUGGGGGUUGGAAAGUUUCGGCGGUUGGGGAUGGACUCGCGGCUUAUCAGCUUGUUGGUGGGGUAGUGGCUUACCAAGGCUUUGACGGGUAGCCGGCCUGAGAGGGUGACCGGCCAAAUUGGGACUGAGAUACGGCACAGACUCGUACGGGAGGCAGCAGUGGGGAAUAGUGCACAAUGGGAGGAAGCCUGAUGCAGCAAAGCCGCGUGCGGGAUGACGGCCUUCGGGUUGUAAACCGAUGUCGCCUGUGACGAAGCGUGAGUGACGGUAAUGGGUAAAGAAGCACCGGCUAACUACGUG